rnacentral:rRNA from 1 species
CCUACGGGAGGCAGCAGUGAGGAAUAUUGGGCAAUGGACGAAAGUCUGACCCAGCAACGCCGCGUGGAGGAUGAAUGCCGUAAGGUUGUAAACUCCUUUUGAGAGGGACGAAAACCCAUAUUUCGUAAGGGAUAUGGUUUGACUGUACCUCUAGAAGAAGCCCCGGCUAACUACGUGCCAGCAGCCGCGGUAAUACGUAGGGGGCAAGCGUUGUCCGGAUUUACUGGGUGUAAAGGGCGCGUAGGCGGAUUUGUAAGUCAGAGGUGAAAGCCCGCAGCUUAACUGCGGAACUGCCUUUGAUACUGCUUAUCUUGAGUUCGGAAGAGAGAAGCGGAAUUCCAGGUGUAGUAGUGAAAUACGUAGAUAUCUGGAAGAACACCGGUGGCGAAGGCGGUUUUCUAGCUUAUUCCUGACGCUGAGGCGCGAAAGCAAGGGGAUCAAACAGGAUUAGAUACCCCGGUAGUCC